GAUGAACGCUGACAGAAUGCUUAACACAUGCAAGUCCACUUGAACUUCGGUUUGGGUGGCGGACGGGUGAGUAACGCGUAAAGAACUUGCCUCACAGCUAGGGACAACAUUUGGAAACGAAUGCUAAUACCUGAUAUUAUGAUUUUAGGGCAUCCUAGAAUUAUGAAAGCUAUAUGCGCUGUGAGAGAGCUUUGCGUCCCAUUAGCUAGUUGGAGAGGUAACGGCUCACCAAGGCGAUGAUGGGUAGCCGGCCUGAGAGGGUGAACGGCCACAAGGGGACUGAGACACGGCCCUUACUCCUACGGGAGGAAGCAGUGGGGAAUAUUGGAAAAUGGACCAAGAGUCUGAUACAGCAAUUCUGUGUGAACGAUGAAGUUUUUCGGAAUGUAAAGUGCUUUCAGUUGGGAAGAAAAAAAUGACGGUACCAACAGAAGAAGUGACGGCUAAAUACGUG
rnacentral:rRNA from 1 species